GUCUUCGUGGCUCAGUUGGUUAGAGCGUUGGUCUCAUAUAUAUCUGUAUGACCCAUUCAACCAAGGUUGGGAUAUCCAAAGGUCGUGAGUUCGAGUCUCACCGAGGACA